rnacentral:rRNA from 1 species
CUGAGAGGAUGACCAGCCACACUGGAACUGAGACACGGUCCAGACUCCUACGGGAGGCAGCAGUGGGGAAUAUUGCACAAUGGGCGCAAGCCUGAUGCAGCCAUGCCGCGUGUAUGAAGAAGGCCUUCGGGUUGUAAAGUACUUUCAGCGGGGAGGAAGGGAGUAAAGUUAAUACCUUUGCUCAUUGACGUUACCCGCAGAAGAAGCACCGGCUAACUCCGUGCCAGCAGCCGCGGUAAUACGGAGGGUGCAAGCGUUAAUCGGAAUUACUGGGCGUAAAGCGCACGCAGGCGGUUUGUUAAGUCAGAUGUGAAAUCCCCGGGCUCAACCUGGGAACUGCAUCUGAUACUGGCAAGCUUGAGUCUCGUAGAGGGGGGUAGAAUUC